GUUCCACCAGUCAGUGAAGGUGUCAAGGUUUUUGACGAAACAGGCACUGAGUUGGAUGCGGAGGUCUUCUCUGACAUAGCGCAGCAGCCCAGUACUGGCAUACUAACCAUCAAGUUUGAUGACGAUUUCAAGGAAACUUUAUCCAGCAGUUCCCAA